rnacentral:lncRNA from 1 species
UUUCGUCAUUUUUCCUCAAAAUUUUUCGAACCUGACUAAAAAUGUAGUAGAUGAGUGGAAAACACAUAUUUCAUGAUUUAAAAUAAAUUUGGGUGUCUAAAACAUUUAUUAAAAAUGAUAUUACAACUAGUUGAAUAAAAUAAAAAUAUUCAAUAAAAUAUUCUAAUUUUUUAUAAAACAAUAUUUAUAGAGUCAUCGGUAAAUAAUUUUUGUAAUGUAAAAGCUAAAUAAAUUCAUACAUACUAUAAUACAGAUAACCGGGAUAUGAAAUUUACUUUACAGUGACUCGUGGGCCCACAAGGAACAAAAGUGGACAAAGGUAGUAAACCUAUAGUUUUUGGAGUAGUAAAGCUGACUAUAAUCCUUGACAAUAUCUGCUAUCCACAGGCUACCUCG